rnacentral:lncRNA from 1 species
ACUGGGAGGGCGCCCAGGGGCGGAGGAGGCGCUGCGAACCCGUUUGGGGGCUUCUUUGUUUCUCUUCGGGCCCCUAUCUGCCGGCUGUACCCAAGCCUUGGGAUGCCAGCCCGGCUUGGGCGGCGACCCGCCCCAAGUCAACAAUUGAACCUCGCGGGAGAAGAGAGGGUGGGUAAAAGGGUGGAUCCCGGCUCUCUGGAGGCAGUGCGCUGCAGGGGCUUCGCAAGGCAGAACUUUACAGAAGAGGAAACCACGGGAAACCAAGUGAAGCCUCAAUUCCCACCCUCCUCCCUCCCCCGGGAGCACCUCCCUUCCAGCCUGCGCUCGUCACUUCAGGUGCCCAGUGAUUUCUCAAUGGACAUUUCCCUCUGUCUGGCAGGAAUCUGAUUUUCCCACCAGAUGAGUUCAACGCUGUCUGUUUUUCAAACCAUAUCUCAAAAGCCACACAGAACCCUGAGCACACAUUUCACCAGAUUUGACAGAUGAGCUUUGGUAUGAAGAAAACCUCCAAGAAUGGACUUGGCUGAGGUGCAACAAUAAACACCAGAAUCAACCAAAUGAUAAUACCAACCAGAAAUUUGGAAGAAAA